rnacentral:rRNA from 1 species
AUUGAACGCUGGAGGCAGGCUUAACACAUGCAAGUCGAGCGAGCGGCGGACGGGUGAGUAAUGUCUGGGAAACUGCCUGAUGGAGGUGGAUAACUACUGGAAACGGUAGCUAAUACCGCAUACCAUCAGAUGUGCCCAGAUGGGAGUAGCUAGUAGGUGGGUGAAUGGCUCACCUAGGCGACGGGCCCUAGCUGGUCUGAGAGGGUGACCAGCAACACGGGAAGUGGGACACGGGCCAGACUCCUACGGGAGGCAGCAGUGGGGAAUAUUGCACAAGGGGAGCAAGCCUGAUGCAUCCAUGCCGCGUGUGUGAAGAAGGCCUUCGGGUUGUAAAGCACUUUCAGCGAGGAGGCGUUACUCGCAGAAGAAGCACCGGCUAACUCCGUGCCAGCCGCCGCGGUAAUAC